rnacentral:tRNA from 1 species
GCCGGUAUAGCUCAGUUGGUAGAGCAGCGCACCCGUAAUGCGAAGGUCGUAGGUUCGAUUCCUAUUGCCGGCACCA